UGAAAGAGAGAUAACACUCCUGAAUGACAUAAAAUGCAUAUACAAACAAAAGCAGAAGUACUUCGCAUAUUAAUUUAUACAUGACAUUUCACUGUUUAUUAUAAAUUAUAUCGAUAACGCCAAGUGAUUCACCAAACUGUGCCUAAGUUUGAAAUUGAAAUUUAAUUUCAUCUGAAAUAAACAAAAGAAACGAACACAAGUGGUUCACUGUGUGAUCUUGAAAAAUCGAACGUAAGACCAAAUUUUACUUCGCCUGUCAGCAAUACAACAUUCGAAGACAACGUUGAAGGUCAGUUAAUCGUGUUCUUCGUGUUUGAUCGAUUAACAAUUUCGUUUUGAUGUUUCAUUGGUUUUGGUUAGCAUUGGUUGGUAUUGCGUAUUGUGUACCAACCGUAGUCCACGGAGACAAUCUUACAAAAACAAUGGCAAAUAAUGACACAGGAGAACUGGUCGUCUUUGGAGCUAACGCCAAUAAUGCGGUAGUGCUCGUUUCACUUCUCAGUGAUGAUGGACAUCUUGUCGUUCAACGAAGUGGCGACGAAGUAACAACUAUUGUAAAUCCGGCCAACGCUGCCUGGAUACCCGAUCCAAAAUACAUUGUUUGUGAUGAAGUAAAGCCGGAAAAUAUUGCCAAGCGUCUAAGUGAAUUGACGAAACCUUUCCGGUUCAUUGUGGCUUUCGAUGCCGGUGAUAUGUUUGCAGAUCCAUUCUGGAACAUGAUCAUUUAUUUAGCCAAAUACGUAUCGGAAGACGAAAUCUAUUCGAAUCAGCUCCGAGUGGUUGCAAUGAACAUACCACAUGAUGAGAUUUCUUUGCAACGACAUUGAGCUGAAACGAGCAAUCACGAAUGGGCUUAAACCACAUUGUACAGUAGAUUUUCAGAUGGUAGGAAUGCAUUUCAUUGAAAAAACUGGUCCUGUUAGUGAAAUGUCAGAGCUUAAACAAGAACUGGUCGCUGUUAAAAACGCUGUCGAUCAUCUAGUUGCAUAGUGAUUUCGAUUCUAUGCAUAAAUCAUCAAAUAUUCUGUACAUCCCUAGCUAAGAUAUUAAUCGAACCAUUAAAUUUUAGUGCUUGA